GCGGCAGACGGGUGAGUAACGCGUGGGGAUGUGCCCAGAGGUGGGGAAUAACUCAGGGAAACUUGAGCUAAUACCGCAUGAGCCCUUCGGGGGAAAGAUUUAUCGCCUUUGGAUCAACCCGCGUCAGAUUAGCUAGUUGGUAGGGUAAUGGCCUACCAAGGCGACGAUCUGUAGCUGGUCUGAGAGGAUGACCAGCCACACUGGGACUGAGACACGGCCCAGACUCCUACGGGAGGCAGCAGUGGGGAAUAUUGGACAAUGGGCGCAAGCCUGAUCCAGCCAUGCCGCGUGAGUGAUGACGGCCUUAGGGUUGUAAAGCUCUUUUAACAGGGACGAUAAUGACGGUACCUGUAGAAUAAGCCCCGGCAAACUUCGUGCCAGCAGCCGCGGUA
rnacentral:rRNA from 1 species